rnacentral:rRNA from 1 species
UGGAGCAAAACUCAAAAACUUAGUCUCAGUUCGGAUUGUAGGCUGAAACUCGCCUACAUGAAGCUGGAGUUGCUAGUAAUCGCGAAUCAGCAUGUCGCGGUGAAUACGUUCCCGGGCCUUGUACACACCGCCCGUCACACCAUGAGAGUUGGCAAUACCCAACGUACGUGAUCUAACCCGCAAGGGAGGAAGCGUCCUAAGGUAGGGUCAGCGAUUGGGGUGAAGUCGUAACAAGGUACC